ACGAAGGGUCCAAGCGUUAUCCGGAUUCAUUGGGUUUAAAGGGUGCGCAGGCGGGGCCUUAAGUCAGUGGUGAAAUCUCUUCGCUCAACGAGGAAACUGCCAUUGAUACUGAGGUUCUUGAAUACCGUGGAGGUCAGCGGAAUAUGUCAUGUAGCGGUGAAAUGCUUAGAUAUGACAUAGAACACCAAUUGCGAAGGCAGCUGGCUACACGAAUAUUGACACUCAGGCACGAAAGCGUGGGGAUCAAACAGGA
rnacentral:rRNA from 1 species